AUUCUGAAGAAGGCCUUCUUGGUAAAAACCCAUCUGUGACUUUUUCUCCUGGCUAAUCUUUCUUUCCUUUCCCGAAUUCUAAACCCAGCCGUCCAUUAGGAGAUGAUCCAUUCCUUAGUGUCACCGUUUUGUCAAGAGCUACUUAGAGAUCACUUGUUCCUUUCACCAGGCUUCAUUGUAAAACAAGUGUGCAGCUUUGACUUAAGGCUCCCUUCGGCACCACUCAGUUGAAGUAUCUCUAAGGAGGCUUAAUCCUUUGGUGCCUCUCUUCUUCUUUUCCUGUCUUCCACAGGGCUCGGGAGAGAGUUACCUGGAGAGAACAGAGCGCUUAUAUCUGCAGAUGUGCUCAACGAGAGAAAAGAAUUUGAUGGACGACCAAGAGCAACUGAAAAUCCAGGUGACAGAACUGGAGGAGGAAGUCAACACCCUGAUGAAGAUCAACAAGAGUCUUUUCGACUUCUCCAGCUCUAUCAUCACCUCCACCAAAUAGAGCAGCUUCUGAAGCCUGGUUAGAGAUGGAAGGAGAGACAAGCCAGUCGGGGUUCAUGUUGGACACAGCCAUUUCCUCCAUGACAACGCUUGAUGGGAACUUAUACGGUUGCAGAGAUACCCUCUCAUAACCAUGUCUAACUGCAGGGCUGGCCAUGGAAGUCUGUAGCAUCUAGAUGUUCUGGGAGGAGCCCUACACCCCCCCCCCCCAAAUCUUUAUGAAUAACAGCAGAUAGCAUGGAAGGAGAAUAGCCCAGCUAGGGAAAAGAGAUGAGCCCUUUUCUUUUACAGUGCAACUUCCUUACAUCCUACAAGAUCCUUUCAUUCCUCAAACAGAACCAACUGUAGAUGUUCUUGAAGAUGCCACCAUCCCCUUUUCUCCAGUCGGAAACCACGUGGCCGCUUUAGAACUCCUCUUGUACCUGAGAACUUCAACUUCCGGGGGGUUGAGGACAACAACCAUGGGCUUCGAACGCAUCACGCACAAUAGGUGGAACUGCCCUCGUUGUAAUGGGCCAGGGAGAGGGACAAUUGACCAGCAAGAAGAAUGACCCGUGUAGCUGGACUGAGCACAGAGGCUUUCUGCUCUCAAGCUCUUGCUCUGGGGCGGGGGGGAGAGAAUGGAGAGAUGGGGAAGAUCAUAUUUCAUCCUUUUUUUCCUCAUUUGGAAAAGGUGGAGAAACCUUCCCUGCAAGAACAACCUGGCAUGAUAAGAGGAAAAAAAAAACAAUCUUUUUACGGUCAGAGAUCAGCAGAAAAAAAAGUGGGGGGGGAUUUUUUUUAACUGAACUGCUACUCUUCCUGCAGAAUAAAUUGUGAAUUUUU